rnacentral:lncRNA from 1 species
AUGAUCCGGAUAUCUGUGCUGCAACCGCUUCCGGGUCAACCUACUACUUCCGGUUCACCGGAAAAACCUGGAUACGCGCGUCUUGUGUCUCAACAACAGUUCGUGGAGCUCCGCGAGCGCGCAUUUUACCCACUCGUUCAAGAAAGGAGGUCAAACGUCCGGAGCUCAGCUCCAAGUCUUGGGUUCCUUGCAGACAGAGCAGAGCUCGUGGCUUUCCUCCGAAUCAGAGAUUCUGUACAGCUGGCUGACAUGACAGGAACAGGUGGUUGUCAAUGAUCAGAACCUUACGCAAACUGAUCCGUGUGACCCAGAGCAUCCUCAUUCUUUUAAGAUCCUUUGACUGAACUGGAACCAGUGGAGCAUCAAACUAGAACCUUUCACGUUUGGUGGUUACGUCUGUCAGAUAAUCAGCAAAGUACGUCCACUUUGCUCCCUAGGGGGCGCUGUUUUGGCUGCUGGAUUCAGACCUGAGGUUCAGUGGAGAAAUGGGAGGGUUCUUAUUGCUGGGUGUAGUCAAAGGGCGUCUUCAAUUCCAGAAUAGCCCAAACCCACAGUCUUUGUGGGAGUCUGAAGAUCUGAUCCAACCAGAGGUUCCUGAGUAAACCGCCACAGAGACCAGGGGGGUAUUCCAGGAAGCAUGUUUAAACUAGCCUGACUUUAACCCUGAACUCUGGCUGAAAUCCGCCUGAACUUGCUUACUCUGGGUAUGUCGGUUCCUAAAGACCGGAUAUGAGUUAGAGUAAUUACGCUCCACUUGGUAACCCUGGGUUAACGCACGUGCACAGCAGGUACAUAAAGACAUUCUCAAUGGAUCGCAGAUUUCUGGAGUUACCAUGGAAACGCGUGGAGAAAAAAAAGCACUAUACUUCAGUGAGACGGAGUCUGAGAUUUUAAUGACGGAGUAUGGAGAUUAUACGUCCACCAAAAAAGUAACACGGCUGCAUCAUCAGCAAAAGUAAGAACAGACAAAGUAAACGCACAAGUUUCUGAUCUUAUUUCCAUUUUCCUUGUGACGAAUAUAUAUAUAACUUAUCCAACUUAAAUGAAUUACUUCUAUUGGUAAAAAGUAAUUGAGUUAAAUUAUUCAACGUAAUUUCUUACGUCUAUCCAACUCAGAUGUUUAAACAACUGAAAUUUACACAUUUAUCUAACUAAAUGUCAUAUUACUCCAAUUCAAUUAAAUGUUUUUCC